CUGAUUGAUGGCAUGGCAACUAGAUGACAUGAAGUUCUGAGGGGCAGAGUACUAACAGAACUUCAUGCCUCUUUUCAGUUUCACUGUAUCUAGCUGCGCCUCCUUAGGCUGGUAGUGAUUCUACUCCAAUCAAUUAUGCACAGCAUUAUUGGAAUUGAUUUUCUAAACAGAAUCUAAUCAAGCAACCCCAGCUCAGAAGCUGCCAGAGAUUGUCCACUGAUGUGAGAGCAAACCCCAGCUCUUCUGAAGAGCCCUGGUAGGUCUGUGGAGACACCCCCAACCUGCCUUGAGGACCUUAUCUCAGAUGUCCAUUUUCGCUAUCUAUUGAGAAUUCCAUACAUGCAUAUAUGAUGUUUUGAUUAGAUGCACUCCUUCCUGCUGCUGUGCUCAUGGGUGUGGGCUAUCUCCUGGAAGACAAGUGAUUAUCCUUCCUCUAGCAGCCAUUGAUUGACAAUGUAUCCCCAGGUCCGGGCUCAGAGAUCAUCACAGAAGAGAAGGGGCAGAAGGACAGGAAAAGGCAGAGCCAUUGGUGAUGACAGCCAUUCUCUCUUAAUGUCUGUAUAUUCCUAUCUAAAUACCAUUAGAUUUUAUCCUUCAUUAUUGUAUGCCUUCUGCUUUCAGUUAUGUUCUGCCCAAUGUAUAAACUUGAGCAAACUAAUUUUCCCCUGUCUAAUUAAGCCCAUUGUAAUAUUUCACUCGUUCAAGCAUCCUGUUCAAUGAAACAUUAUUUUCACUUAUCAGUGUUCUGUCAUGUGUUCCUAGUGGCUUCUAAUUGGGGACAAUUAGAAGAAGAUGAUAAAUGUAAACUCAGCAGUGGCAGUUGUCAUUACCAUAACCCUGCUCAGCCCCACAGGACUUCCUGUUUGUUUGAGACAACAGGGAACUCAGGAUCAGAUCAAGGCUUGAUGAAGCAGCAGUACAGGAAGCACAUAGCCCGAGAGGACAUCCUUCAUUUUAAUUUGUUAGUUUAAUAUGACUUGAGAGGAAAUCACAAAAUACUCCUUACCUGAGGUGUUUAAUGGUCCUAAUGAACCUAGUGGGUGGUGUUGACUUAGUUCUUACCCAACUCCUUGAGUCUACAGCCCUGAACAAAAUGUUGAAAUGAGCCAUCUGUGCAGA